rnacentral:ncRNA from 1 species
AAAAGGAAGUUUUUCUCUUGAUCACCAGAGGCGAAGUGAACCUUCGUCUAGUCUUAUAUAAGGCGAAACUCUCAAAUUGCGGGAAGCUCUUAAAAACAAACCUACCAAGUUAAUAUAGUAAUAUAAUUAAUGGAACAGGUAAUGACUCGUUGUAUGGUAAAAACGAUUUGUAUAUAUAGAAUAUCCGCAGCCAAGCACCAAGUAUUCUAAGGAAUAUUGGUGUGCAGUUCAUCGACUAAACGUGAGUUGGUUUUUUAUUAAUAUCUUAGGGUAUUAAUAAUUAGCUUAAGAUAUAGUCAGUCUCAAUACGAUAGUAUUGA